ACUUAUCUUCAUUGACUAAACCACUUCUUUUAUCCUCCACAGUCAUUGUGAAUCUACUAAGUCGAAACACCCAGAUAAGAAAAUGAAACAGAGAUCACAAACACAAAAAAAGGGUAAACUUUUCCCACAAUAUUGAAAUUAAGACUUGUGUUACUUUAGUUAUUAAGCCUUUCUAACAAAACCCAGAUGACAAAAAUGAGAAAGGAAGAGAGAGACUCAAUGGGAGUAGAUGAAAAGAAGAAACCGAAAACUCUGAGAGAGGGAGAGGGAGAGAGAAUUGAAGCAAAUAAAAAAGAAACAAGCUGUACAUUUGACAAUGAUAGUGAUGGCCAGAAG
rnacentral:misc_RNA from 1 species